CACACAACCAUGUUUCCUGGAGCGGGGGGGUCUUCUUCGCUGAUAUUGACCUGCAGCUGCCGAGGGACAUGUUGCUUUGCUGCCACCUGCUGGAAAAUAUUUUACACUCCAAUGUCAGAUAGGUCCUCCAGGUCCAGCUGCCGGAUGGGGAUUGGCUGGCGGCAGAGCUGGUAGCUGACCGGGUGGUCGUUCAGCGAGACGGACCUGGUGAUGACCAGGACGUCCUGGAACAGGAAGACAUGAAGCUUCUGGAGACAGACAGAGAGAAAGAGAGAAGAGUUCUCCGUGGCAGCUGAGGGUCCUGGACCGGUCGAUGAGUUCGUUCCUCUGUCCGACCUCCGCGUACAACAGACGAUCUUUGAAGGACUGACACUCCGACUCCCCCGUCCGCCUGUUGAUGUCGGCCACCACGCUCUGAACCAUCAGCAUCUGAGGAGCACACAGACACCAUCUAACAUCCACACACAUUUCAUCGCAUGUGUUUUCUCUUCAUUUAAUGAAUGUGGUCGAUCCCCGUCUUCCCCAUUCCGCACGCUGAAGUGUCUGAAUACUAAACUGGAAAUUGCCCCGGACAGCUGUGCCCACAGUGCUGCCCAUAGAUGCACUGUCUGCAUGUGUGUGUGAAUCUGGGUGAAUGGCAAUGAACUAGUAAACCUCUUUGAGUUGUCUUCAAGACUAGAAACACACUAUAUAAAUACAUAUAGGAUAAAUGUGACGUGUUGUUUCCCUCACCGCCUCCUCCAGGUGCUGCUGGUCCGGGUGGUCGUUGGCUGUGUGCUUCAGGAUCUCCCUGAGCAGCAGUGGAUAUUUCAUCACCCGGCUGCGGGGAAUGUCCAGGAAGUUCCACAGGUCCAGCUUCCUACUGAAGGGCGACUGGAGGCAGCGCUGCAGGAAGUCCUGCACCCGCCGGUCCUGCUUCUUCUGGUCCAACAAGGCCUUGGCCUUCACCUGGUUACUGCAGUACGGGGUGUAGGAGGAGAGACAGGGUAGCUGCAGGGACACAGAGACAGACACCUGAGGUUGUGUCGCCCCCAGUCGGACAUCGAACGUCUCGCUCCACAGUUUGCUGUCCCGGCGCUUGGCGGCUGGGGCCGUUGCCGUGGGACCCCGGGUUGCAGUAACAGAGGAGGAGGGGACGGAGAGCGUCGCCGAGAUAACA